UACAGAGGGUGCGAGCGUUGUUCGGAAUUACUGGGCGUAAAGCGCGCGCAGGCGGCUCUUUAAGUCUCGUGGUCAAAUGCCGGGGCUCAACCCCGAGCGUGCCGGGGAUACUGGAGGGCUGGAGACAGGUAGAGGCAAGCGGAAUUCCGGGUGUAGCGGUGGAAUGCGUAGAGAUCCGGAAGAACACCGGAGGCGAAGGCGGCUUGCUGGGCUGACACUGACGCUGAGGCGCGAAAGCCAGGGGAGCAAACGGG
rnacentral:rRNA from 1 species